UACGAAGGGGCUAGCGUUGUUCGGAAUCACUGGGCGUAAAGCGCACGUAGGCGGAUUGUUAAGUCGGGGGUGAAAUCCUGAGGCUCAACCUCAGAACUGCCUUCGAUACUGGCAAUCUCGAGUCCGGAAGAGGUUGGUGGAACAGCUAGUGUAGAGGUGAAAUUCGUAGAUAUUAGCUAGAACACCAGUGGCGAAGGCGGCCAACUGGUCCGGUACUGACGCUGAGGUGCGAAAGCGUGGGGAGCAAACAGGAUUAGAUACCGUAG
rnacentral:rRNA from 1 species